AUUGAACGCUGGCGGCAGGCCUAACACAUGCAAGUCGAGCGGAUGAAGGGAGCUUGCUCCUGGAUUCAGCGGCGGACGGGUGAGUAAUGCCUAGGAAUCUGCCUGGUAGUGGGGAUAACGUCCGGAAACGGGCGCUAAUACCGCAUACGUCCUGAGGGAGAAAGUGGGGGAUCUUCGGACCUCACGCUAUUAGAUGAGCCUAGGUCGGAUUAGCUAGUUGGUGGGGUAAAGGCCUACCAAGGCGACGAUCCGUAACUGGUCUGAGAGGAUGAUCAGUCACACUGGAACUGAGACACGGUCCAGACUCCUACGGGAGGCAGCAGUGGGGAAUAUUGGACAAUGGGCGAAAGCCUGAUCCAGCCAUGCCGCGUGUGUGAAGAAGGUCUUCGGAUUGUAAAGCACUUUAAGUUGGGAGGAAGGGCAGUAAGUUAAUACCUUGCUGUUUUGACGUUACCAACAGAAUAAGCACCGGCUAACUUCGUG
rnacentral:rRNA from 1 species